UGGCAAGCAAGCUCGAUUGUGUCAGACUUGGACAAUUGCUGGAUACUUGACCUCAAAGAUGCUGUUGCAAAAUCCAGAUAUGGCAUCCAAAUUAUUCUGGAACGAGGAUUAUGAACUCCUUGAGAAUUGUGUUUGUGCACUAAGACCAAAUGGUCGUAGGAAAUGUUCACGCUCUGCUGCCAGAUCUCAAGUAGGUCUCUAAAUGUGUUCCCAUUUCUGCAAUUCCAUGUUUUUACCAUCAAAAUGAAGAGAUUUUCUUGUUAGAAAUUAACCUUUUCUGAUUUAACAGACAGUUUGUGUUCUCUG
rnacentral:misc_RNA from 1 species